UUAAGUUCAGCGGGUAUCCCUACCUGAUCCGAGGUCAACCAUAGGAGUUGGGGGUUCUGGCAAGCCACCGCAGGACCCUAGAGCGAGAGAUGUACUACGCUUAGAGCCAGACGGCGCCGCCACUGACUUUAGGGCCGGCCGCAACGGGCAGGGCCCAACACCAAGCUAGGCUUGAGGGUUGAAAUGACGCUCGAACAGGC
rnacentral:misc_RNA from 1 species